CUGUCUAAUGAUGAUGUCUGGUGUGUGAAUCACAUACAAUGAAUUCUGUGUGUCCAGAAGUCUGAGGUUCAA
ensembl:snoRNA